rnacentral:lncRNA from 1 species
UUCACAACUCAUAAUUAAUAACUAUAAGUGGAAAACACUGUAUCACUGAACCAUUUUUCUUAAAACAUAAAUACAUAUGGGCCGUCAAGGCCUGUGACAUACUGUACAAAAUGAACUUCUGUCUACAAAGCCUCUAAGAUUAUUUAACAUCAAAUGGGACAAGGUAUCGACCUACCUAUAAGUCUAAAGCAAAACUCUGACAUGAUGGCUCAUAGACGCGACUGCACUCUAAAUGAGGUGGAGUCUUACCGAUCCUUCGCUGAAUGCUAACCUCGUCUACUAUGAGGGUUCAUCAAAUUGAUUACUUAUACCUGUAGGCAUGAAUGCAACGUCCACAACAAAAGGAUGUCAGUACAAAUAAUGUGCCGAGUAUGUAAGGCAUGUCAAUCAAUAUAUAAAGGACAUGAAAGAAACAUGGAGUACAUGACUCAACCUGUAAGUUUGGAUAACUCUAUAUAUCAUUUAAUACUUAUAGUGUCAUGCAUAUGCAUAUGAAUGCCAUGUCGUGCAUAAGUACAUGUGUUCAUAACAUCAUCAAGCCUCUGAGGGCAUCCCAUCAUAUCAUCUCAGCCAUUAUGGGCAAAAUUAUCAAUGUAUACCGGCUGAUCAGGUGGUGGUGCGUAUAUAACGCCAUAACCUUUCCCGUAUUCCAUAUACAUAUAUAUACAUAUAUAUACGCAUAUAUAACGCCGUCUGAUCAUGAGUAAAUGCACAUAUAUAAAUGCAUGCAAUAUAUAAUGAAGUAAGUCAAUAUGGUCUCUUGGAAUGUUAUGAGACCCAUGAACAGACAAUAUGGUAGUAGGACAUAUGGGAAAUCAGGAACAUAGGCAACCUUAAUACUUCUAAGAAUAGAAUCAUUUCUGAAACUUGUGUGCGUGCUCGUCUCAUUGUAUCAUAUGGAUCAUGCCAAAAAGGAAAGAAAGAAUAACCUUAACAUACCUGAGCAGGACAAGAAUCAUCUCGUUUAAGCUCAAAUAUAUUGUAUUUGAAGUGUCCUUCAAAUAGUGCUACGAAUACUAACUAGUUUAAGGAAAAACAAAAGAUUUAAUUAGUGCGCAUAUGAAAUAUGUUAUGUCCCAUGGCACAUGAAGAAUCGACUUGAAAAAAACAUAUAACAAAACAUCAAUAAUCCACUAACAAUCCUUAUUUAUGUUUUCAUGUCACUUAUGUAUCAAUGAGUGAUAUUCUUAGAUAACUCUAUUUACAUUCUUUAACUCUUUCAUCUAAAGAGAUAACAAAUAUUUUACAAAUAUUUUACUUAAUGCCUUGUUUCUCCUACUCACGGAGUAUAGUCAUAAGUACAUGAUAUAAAACAGUGUUUCUGGUUGAUACCGCAAACCAUAGCCAACACUAGCCUAAUUUUUCCAUUUAAAUGUUAGCAAAAUUUUCUAUAAAGUUCAAUUUUGUAACUCAUACAGAUGUUAGCAAAUAUUUUGUGCAAUUAAACACAGCUUAAAUUACUAUGAAUACAUACCACAGCAGUGACAUCGUGCAAAACAUGGGUAAUAGCCCAUUCACCAUAUUUCUCAUUCUCUUUAGUUAAUUAUCAUCUCUUCACACUUAAUUAGAAUUCUUCGAAUUUGAAACCCAGUUCUCGUUACAGCUCCUCAGUCCCAAAUCUCACGUAAAGUCAAGCAGUGCAUGCUACAAAUACCUCAUAAACACAUGAAAUUUACGUCCAUUUGCCCUUUCUUUAUCUCAGUAAAGUGACAUGUGAAUCUGGGUAUAAAAAGAUUGAAAUUUGAGUUUUUGGGAGUUGAAAUCGAGAGAGAAUGGCUUUAGGCUUCGUGUUUAGAAUGGCCAGAAUCAU